GUGUUGCCAAAUAAGCCUAGACAUCUGAUAUUUAUCCAAAUUGUGUCUGAAAACAAUGAAAUUUGUGAACAUCUUUAAGAUUUCUGCAAGUUUUGUAGCUUUGGAUUUUUCUAGAAGACCCUGGGAGCACACUGGUUCCUAACCUGUGACAGGCCUCCGAGAGUACCCAUGUAACUGUGGUGACCUCCCCACGCCUUGCUCCUCAGGGUGUGUGUGGUGUAUGUUGAGUUAUGGCUGUUGCUGGGUGGAGACUGUUUCUAGUCUAACCCUCCGUUAGCAAGGCCAUGCUAACUGCUUAUGCUGCACACCCAGGUUCCUUGUGGUUGACUAUUACAGCAACGUAGUGUUUGCUCACGUUGGGCCUACGGAAGCCUUCAGGACUGAGAUGAGAAAAUUGUCUCUGCUGGGGCCUGGGUAGAUGGCUUCAGACCCAAGGACCAGCGUUCAAAAUUCAGAGCCCACGUAAAAAAUCUAAGUAUUGUGAUGUAUACCUUAAACACAAAGACAGGGGUCAGGCUGUCCUCCUGAGCUGGUGAGUUCCGGGUUCUAGAAUACACCUUCUCUCAAAAAACAAGGUUGGGAAGCAACUGAGGGAGCUCUUCCCCACCAGCCUCUGGUAACCACAUGUGCUCACACACAUGUGUUCACACACAUGUACACACACACGAGUUGACUAAGGGGCUGGAGAGAGGCUCAGAAGGUGUGCUGCUCUUCCAGAGGGCUCGCAUUUGUUUCACAACUCCCUGCAAUUCCAGCUCCAGGAGACCUGAUGCUCUUUUCUAGUCUCCACAGGCCUCUUACACACACAGUAGACACACACACACCUGGCACCCUCGCGCGCGCGCGCACACGUACACACACAAAAUCAAAUCUAAAAACAUUUAAAAUUAAUUUUAAGAAAGAGAAAAAGGUCCCUUCUGAGAAACUACCUUUCAGCUACUACCCACCAAGGAACAGAGUGCAGAUGUUCAGUAGCAGGGGCAGUCUCUGCCACACCUGAGUGUGACAUUGAACUCUGAAGCCCUGGUCCUCAUGAUGUGUGUACUUGACUGCUAAACUGAAGACAGCUGUGAAGAUAGAUCCAGCAGUAGCAACAGACCUUCAGCUGGCUGAGGCCAGGUAGGGUCCUCAGUAAACAGGACCCACCUCUGAAGUCUCUCCAAAUUGCAAGAAUAAAUCCAUUGCUUUGUGGAUCAAAAAGUUCAAAAUCUCUGACUUGAUUCUCUGCAGUAGGAGUUCAGCAUCCCAGAUGUUGUUUUUGUUUGAGUACAAUCUGAACUGUAUUAAAAACUACCUACUGCUGUG